UACGGGAGUGGCAAGCGUUAUCCGGAAUUAUUGGGCGUAAAGCGUCCGCAGGCGGCCUUGUAAGUCUGUUGUUAAAGCGUGGAGCUUAACUCCAUUUAAGCAAUGGAAACUGCAAGGCUUGAGUGUGGUAGGGGCAGAGGGAAUUCCCGGUGUAGCGGUGAAAUGCGUAGAUAUCGGGAAGAACACCAGUGGCGAAGGCGCUCUGCUGGGCCAUAACUGACGCUCAUGGACGAAAGCCAGGGGAGCGAAAGGGAUUAGAUACCCCUGUAGUCCUGGCCGUAAACGAUGAACACUAGGUGUCGGGGGAAUCGACCCCCUCGGUGUCGUAGCCAACGCGUUAAGUGUUCCGCCUGGGGAGUACGCACGCAAGUGUGAAACUCAAAGGAAUUGACGGGGGCCCGCACAAGCGGUGGAGUAUGUGGUUUAAUUCGAUGCAACGCGAAGAACCUUACCAGGGUUUGACAUCCUGCGAAUCCCUUGGAAACGAGGGAGUGCCUUCGGGAGCGCAGUGACAGGUGGUGCAUGGCUGUCGUCAGCUCGUGUCGUGAGAUGUUGGGUUAAGUCCCGCAACGAGCGCAACCCACGUCGUUAGUUGCCAGCAUUCAGUUGGGCACUCUAGCGAGACCGCCGGUGAUAAACCGGAGGAAGGUGUGGAUGACGUCAAGUCAUCAUGCCCCUUACAUCCUGGGCUACACACGUACUACAAUGCUACGGACAAAGGGCAGCAAACUCGCGAGAGCUAGCAAAUCCCAUAAACCGUGGCUCAGUUCAGAUCGUAGGCUGCAACUCGCCUACGUGAAGGAGGAAUCGCUAGUAAUCGCAGGUCAGCAUACUGCGGUGAAUACGUUCCCGGGCCU
rnacentral:rRNA from 1 species